rnacentral:rRNA from 1 species
UACGUGGAGGGGCAAGCGUUGUCCGGAAUCAUUGGGCGUAAAGCGCGUGUAGGCGGUUCGGUAAGUCGGCUGUGAAAGUCCAGGGCUCAACCCUGGGAUGCCGGUCGAUACUGCCGGACUAGAGUUCGGAAGAGGCGAGUGGAAUUCCUGGUGUAGCGGUGAAAUGCGCAGAUAUCAGGAAGAACACCCGUGGCGAAGGCGGCUUUCUGGGACGGUACUGACGCUGAGACGCGAAAGCGUGGGGAGCGAACAGG